rnacentral:rRNA from 1 species
AGAAGGGGGUCCCCCCCUUAUUGAAGUAUGUUAGGGAGUAAACGCCCCCCACAACCUCUUGUUAUUAAUAAAGGUGGGUGGAGGGCCCGCCCCCUUUCCACGGGGCCUUGGGACCAGGGGCCCGACUUUCUUGGGGGGAGCCCCAUUUAAGGAAUUUGUGUCAAUGGACGCAAAUUUUGAACCAACCCCAUGCCGGGUGAAAGGAUGAAGGUCCUUUGGGAUUGUAAACUUUUUUUUAUCGGGGACGAAACCCCCGUUUUUCUAACGGGACUGACGGUACCAGAGGAAUAAGCACCGGCUAACUACGUGCCAGCAGCCGCGGUAAAACGUAGGUCCCGAGCGUUAUCCGGAUUUACUGGGCGUAAAGCGCGUUCAGGCGGCUUGGCAAGUCGGGCAUGAAAUCUCUCGGCUCAACCGGGAGGGGUUGCCCGAUACUGUCGGGCUGGAGGGCAGUAGAGGGUGGUGGAAUUCCGGGUGUAGUGGUGAAAUGCGUAGAGAUCCGGAGGAACACCAGUGGCGUAAGCGGCCACCUGGACUGUACCUGACGCUGCAACGCGAAAGCUAGGGGAGCGAACGGGAUUAGAAACCCCGGUAGUCCUAGCCAUAAACGAUGUGGACUAGGUGUCAGCGGUCUAAACCCCGUUGGUGCCGGAGCUAACGUGUUAAGUCCACCGCCUGGGGACUACGGCCGCAAGGUUAAAACUCAAAGGAAUUGACGGGGACCCGCACAAGCAGCGGAACGUGUGGUUUAAUUCGAGGCUACGCGAAGAACCUUACCAGGGAUUGACAUGCCCGUCGUAGGGAAGCGAAAGCGGACCGACCCUUCGGGGAGCGGGCACAGGUGAUGCAUGGCUGUCGUCAGCUCGUGCCGUGAGGUGUUUGGUUAAGUCCACUAACGAGCGCAACCCCUGGCGUCAGUUAUACGUGUCUGGCGCGACUGCCGGUAUUAAGCCGGAGGAAGGUGGGGACGACGUCAAGUCCGCAUGUCCUUUAUACCCUGGGCGACACACACGCUACAAUGGCCGGUACAAUGGGUCGCCAAGCCGUGAGGCGGAGCCAAUCCUCCCAAAGCCGGUCUCAGUUCGGAUCGCAGGCUGCAACCCGCCUGCGUGAAGUCGGAGUUGCUAGUAACCGCAGGACAGCUAUACUGCGGUGAAUACGUUCCCGGGUCUUGUACACACCGCCCGUCACGUCAUGGGAGCUGGCAACACCUGGAGCCGGUGGGCCAACCGCAAGGAGGCCGCCGUCGAAGGUGGGGUCGGUGACUGGGACGAAGUCGUAACAAGGUAGCCGUCG